CAUUUAAUGGUUGGCAGUAGAGGUAACUGUAUUUUGCUGAGAUCUCUGUGUGCUGAGGUCUUCUGAAGACAAUUCCCUCUGCUGUGGGAUCCUUUUCAUCUGCUGCAGGAUCAACCAAAAACACCAUGAGAGAGUCCAAGAGAGCUCCCUGUGUCAGAAACAUCAGCAGUGAUGACCUGCAGCCACACGAUAUAUGGAUCAGCUCUGAGAAGACAGCUUUGUGCAGCAGGAGCCAAGGCAUAUGGUACUCAAUGUACACAAGGCCAGAGAGUAAAGACAUGAGACGUUUGAAUUAAGCACGAAGGGCAGGCAGUGCCAGCAAAGACACAGACACGGUCACAGCAGUACAAUUUUAAAUGUCUGUAACAGGCAGAUAAAAAGAAGAGAGAAAAGCUAUACAUGCCAGCACCAUCUUGACUGCUGCUUGGAACUGUGACCCCCCUUCUGUUCUCGCCUCAUGCAUCCUCUCUUCAUCCUCAUGCCCCUGAUCACAACCCUGGGGAAGGAGGCCAGGAGGACAAUGCCAUCCUCACGUUUUGUAUGGGCUGGGGCUGCUGUCCAAUGAGUCUUGCUUGUUCUGCCGGCUUGAUUUAUGUUUGGCUCUGUCACUUUCUUUCUUAUGGGAGCUAUGGUAGCAGUAAUUAGGAAUCAAGAAGCCCCUGACAGACAAGUUAUUUUAACUAGGACAAGUCUGUCAGUGAAAUAUAAUAAGAUUAAGGCAUAUGAUAGGUAUGGCUGAUUUUUUUCUUUCUGGAGGUUAGAACGUUUUCUUUUUGAGAAACUCCUUUGAUUCCUCCACAGUCUGCCUAAUGGCAUUUCUCCCUGACAAAAACACUCUUGUUCUUCUCUUGAUGUGAAUUGUUUCAGAUAUUGAAAUCUUUUGUUUUGUUUUGUUUUUAAUGCUUGUCCAGCAAAACCAGUACGUUACUUUGGUCUGGAAUCUAGAAGGAUGUAUUUGUCUGCUCACCUCAAGUGUUUCCUUGGAUGCUGUUUACUUGGAGAGUAGACGGCCAGAAGGACCUUAAGAUCACUUAUACAACCUCUUACAUAUUACAGAUCGUUAGGUUUCACUGAGUUAUCUCUGUAUUGAAAGAGUAUAAUGAAGGAGAAACAGUGAAACAGCUCUUAGUCUAAGGGCAACCUGCUCUUGUAAGGCCUUUUCUUGUGCUACUCAAGAUGUUGAUUACCUAGCUUGCAAAUGGAGUAAUUAACAUCCUCUGCUGUGAAGUAUGUCUUCCUUCCCAGUUAAGGGAGUCAGGUUAGCACUCCUUACUCACACAAAAGGGACUAGACGUGGAUAGCUCUGAGUGUGGAAACAGCAAUGGCAAGAUCCUUUCCUAAGGCAGGAAAGCAAGUGGAUGCUUCUAGACAAGUAUCAUGGCUGUGUUAUUGUGUAAUCCCCAAAAUAUUUUCCAAGUCAUGGGCCCUAGUGUGCCUCCUAUCUGUCCCUGAGACUGCUUUGCCCCAUGUAGAGCAGAGCUCUCCUUUGCAGCCCAACUGUGCCAGCACAUCUGCUACAGGAGGACGCUUCUUUUACACAACAGGGUUUCCCAAACCCAUGCAUCAGCUGGAGGGGUGACAGCAAAAAUGAACAAAGUCUGUGAGAUGGAGUUGUCUGUUUGUGUGCACAACUUAAAGGUGAGUGAGGAAAUAAAGUAGUAUUGCAUUGUCAUACUCCUGCUGAAAAGGAUUUCUCAAUACCUGUUUCUUCAACCUCAUGAGGAAUUGGUUUGAUUUUUCUCAUAUCUGUACUGCAGUUUCUGAUUGAUGAGAAGUAGCAGAUUGAGAAGGGUUAUUAUUCUUUUCAUAGAAAACCAGGAUUAUUUAAAGAAUUUGUUAGUUCUGGACAAGUAGAGACACUUAAAUCAGGGAGUAGGUUAGGCUGACAUUUAAUUAUGUAAUGAGGAAGGAGAGGAAGCAUACAAAAAAAAAGAACAAACAAAAAUAAUUGUAAUGUGGUUUAUUGAAUAGCACAAAUAGAUUGAAUAUGCUAUUGGGCUGCACAAAAACAGCAUCACACGAUUAUUAAGAGUUCAUUUCUUUUUUUACUCGCAGAUUAGGGACUUUCUCCUUGUUGCUUUUCCAGUACUGAAUAUCAACAAGGGAAAUAACUGUCUGCCUGCAGCUUUCUGAGGAUGUGCUGUUAUUGCUUUCUUUUGAGAUUCAUCUUGCUUUUCAGCCUGAGAUUUUGAGUCUGUGGGUGACCUAUUCUACAAGCAAAGCAGGGAAGUUAAUAGAAUUCUUAAUUAACCUCUGAAGGAUUCAUUUAUUUUGUCACCAAAUUAGGCAAAGGGCAAGUAGGUAAAUGUCUACAACUGUCCAAAAGCUACUGGUGACUGCAUGGCUACUACGUACUCUGCUGAAAUUACAGCUGCAGCAGUGAAGUAAGUGAAAUCUUGAAGCAGAGGCAAUCAGAUGUGAGAUGGGAUCUCUACCUGUCCUCCUCAAGAGAAAUGGAGCUAUCCCAGAUGCUUUAUUUUUGAACCGGCCAUGAACCUUGUCCAAUUGUAAGCUGAGGUAUUCACAGAUUAUUUAUUGUAUUUUUGAUUGUGUCUUUGUUGCUCACCCGAGGUGAUGGAACCUGAUAAAUUCAAUUUAAUUUUACCUUUUCUGUAUUGUAUAAUCUGUCUUUUUUAUAUGGACUCAGCUGCUUGGUUUCAGGCACCAAUGAUAUUGCAGUGUAGUUCUAUGUAUGUGUGUAAAUAUUCCCCUACAAGAGCCAAAAAUAUUACAGUCAGUUUGGUAUAUUCCCCUCUGCAACUAAUGAGAAAGAUAUAGUAUUUCUGUGGUGGAUGUGAAAAAUAGGCAUUGUCACCCCAGAGCCUCCCACACCUGUGUAUGAUCUGGGUCCUGUGUCUCUCCCUGCCUGUGCCACAGGGCAGUGAGGAGGGAAGGGAGAAGCAGCUCAGUGUGCACGCCUCCAUGUUUCUUUUCCUCUUGCUUUGUCAGUUAUCUGUGUCUUACUGAGGUGUUGGGGAUGGCUGGAGAGGCAGGGCUUUUGCAAUAAAAAUUUUCCUGAUAGGAGGCUUGAAGGAUUUCAAAUAGAGAACUUUUGUGUACACCAGUACCUGCCCUCUCUGCCAUUGCCUGUCCCCUAGCAGCACAACGGAGUCUG